rnacentral:lncRNA from 1 species
AUAAACAAUCAAUUCUAACCUAAAUCCCAAAUUUCCUAAAUCCAGCCAUGUAAUUUCCAAAUCAGAAAACAAAGAUCCAAAGAAAUGAAGCAACAACAAAACAACAAAGGGACAGAAAUCUCAUGUAAUAAUCAUAGGGGUUAUGGUAUGAGGCGAUACACGCAAGGUGGUAGCAUAAAAUCAAACAGAGGGAAAGUUUAAAUACCAAAUCGGAGCUAGUCCGACGUUCAAAUUCCGGCGAGGUGAGGUAAAUGAUCUUUAGCGUCUCUCGAGGUUCUUUCUUCCUCUCGAACUUUCCGUCUUCUUCGCUUCCUCUUCCCCUUCGUUCUUCUUUAACGAUUCGGGUUUGUCUUGGUUUUGACAGGGGCUUAGCUCAGUUAUCUCAAAGUUCUAGUGAUGAACUUUGAGCAAACUAAUGGGAGUAUUCGAGCUUUGGUGAUGGAUGCGAGUGAGAUUUCAGCAGAGUAACGGCGCAAGGAUUCGGUUCCCUUUUCAGUGGAUUUCACUCCCUUCUUAUAGAGGUGGUACGAGGUUUAUACGUCCUUAUCCUUCAUGAGCUGGCAAAUCUAUUCAGAAUCAUUCCGUUAGAGAGGAAUUUUUGGGCUGGAUUUGGUGGGGACCAAGGUAUGUGAAUCAUUUCCUCAAUUUGUCUGUAGCGAAAUCCACCAAAAAGUGUGGUCCUGUAUUAGCUCUAUUUUACUGAUGUGGAAUACUCAUGUAUUAUGGUUAAAAAUCCUAUUUUUUACCGUCCUGUCUUGAACUUGCAUUGUGUAUUGUUUAUUGUUGCAUUUGUUGUUCACAGAAUAUUAAAAUCGCAACUUUAGUGAAACAAUUACUUGCAUUUGUCUUUUAAGUUGCUAUUGUGUACAUGCUAAUCUGAUUUUCUUUAACAAUUUCACCCAUAAAUUUUUAGCAGGGCAUCCUCCUUUGAAGUUGAGUGCAUGACACUAGAAAGGGGGAUAUACUCUUAGUCCAAAAUCUGCGACACUAUGGCGGUAAUAGGCUGAGAUUCAUCAUACAAGAUUACGUUCGCGUGCAAAGAUUGGUACGUGUAGUCUCAGAAAACAGGAAGUUGUAGCUUGAUUGUUGAGGAUACAGUCCUUCCUAUCCAUUUGCUUUACUAUCUUAAUAAUCUUGUUGCAUAUGAAUCCUUGGCAAUCCAGCAUCCAGAGAGCCCGCUUUCCAGGUUCGGUACCUUCAGAGCUGCAUACUUGGAACCAGAAUAACUCAGCAUUGGACCAAAGUUUACGGCCACCCGUUAUCUUCCGCACUCCUUUUUCCUUCAUCUUACUUCUCACCAGGGAGACAUCUUUCCUUUAAUCAACUGAUGCAUAAAUGUAGACAACAAUGCAUAGUUUGAGGCUUGAGUUCAAAAAGACAUUUGUAUUGGUUUUGGUCAGUAAUACCAAUUUUUNN